UUAAUUGAAACCAAAAUAGAGGUAUUUUAUUGUUAAUAAAAAAAUUGAAAUUAAUUCCAAUUAAA
rnacentral:tRNA from 1 species